GGUUUGUGGAUGCAGACUCAGGGUAAAAGGGAAGCAGGUGGAAGACCUGCGCGAUCUCGUCACUGUAAGCAGGGAGCACUGGAUUAUGCGCAUGCCUGAGGGGCAUGGCAGCCACUGGUUUUUGGAGACCGGGAAGGCAAUCUUAUGUGUGGGGAGCUGCGAGCCAGGAAACCUGCCGGUUGUU
rnacentral:ncRNA from 1 species